GCCUAACAGUCCUAUAACACA
rnacentral:tRNA from 2 species